GGAUGUGUGACAGAGCCUGGUUUAUUGUGCCUGCCUUGAGUGUAGGAGUCUUUUUACGAAGACCAAGAGUUCGAAUCUCUUCGCGUCCG
rnacentral:tRNA from 1 species